UACAGAUGGCUGUGGCUUUUGUGAGAUC
rnacentral:sRNA from 1 species